rnacentral:rRNA from 1 species
GAUGAAUGAUGGAGGAGGGAAGAAAAAAGGCAAGUCGAGCGAACAGACGAGGAGCUUGCUCCUCUGACGUUAGCGGCGGACGGGUGAGUAACACGUGGAUAACCUACCUAUAAGACUGGGAUAACUUCGGGAAACCGGAGCUAAUACCGGAUAAUAUAUUGAACCGCAUGGUUCAAUAGUGAAAGACGGUUUUGCUGUCACUUAUAGAUGGAUCCGCGCCGCAUUAGCUAGUUGGUAAGGUAACGGCUUACCAAGGCGACGAUGCGUAGCCGACCUGAGAGGGUGCUCGGCCACACUGGAACUGAGACACGGUCCAGACUCCUACGGGAGGCAGCAGUAGGGAAUCUUCCGCAAAGGGCGAAAGCCUGACGGAGCAACGCCGCGUGAGUGAUGAAGGUCUUCGGAUCGUAAACCUCUGUUAUUAGGGAAGAACAAAUGUGUAAGUAACUAUGCACGUCUUGACGGUACCUAAUCAGAAAGCCCCGGCUCCCUACGUG